rnacentral:piRNA from 1 species
ACUCAGGGGCCCCUCAGACUUUUAAGAAAA